rnacentral:rRNA from 1 species
UGUGCGUGAAUAUUGCACAAUGGGGGAAACCCUGAUGCAGCGACGCCGCGUGAGCGAUGAAGGCCUUCGGGUCGUAAAGCUCUGUCCUAUGGGAAGAAUAAAUGACGGUACCAUAGGAGGAAGCCCCGGCUAACUACGUGCCAGCAGCCGCGGUAA